rnacentral:lncRNA from 1 species
UUCAUGCGCUUUUCACUUAUAUGACCCAAACAACAAUGCCACAAGUAGGUAGGACUCAAAUCACUAGGCCGAGGCCUUUUAGCACUUAUGUUACAGACAGGUGAACCAUCAAGAUUUAAAACAAAUAAUCCAUUCACAAUGGGUGCAAAAGCCAUAAACAUAUCAUUCUUAGAGAUCACACAACCAUUGUUUUCACUCACAAAUGAAUAACCAUCCUUCAUCAAGCAUGAAGGAGACAAAAUGUUUCGACUUAAACUAGGAACGAAAUAACAAUUAUUCAACUCCAUAAUAAAUCCUGACGGGAGGUGGAGUUGCAUCAUCCCGACGGUCAACGCAGUAACUCUUGCAUUAUUGCCCACGCGAAAAUCAACUUAUCCUCUUUCCACGCUUCUACUUCUUAUCAUUC